GCCAGCUUGCUUUUUUAGAAACUAACAAAUGAGUAAAUUAACUAGUAAAAAUUGAUGUAUGAUCUCAUCAAUUGGCUGUUACAAAUCAGUUGCUAGAUUAGAAAAGUUAUAUGCAUCUAUUCAUAUCUUUUUUGAAGAGAUUAUGCAUCCAAUAUAUUGAUCAUUACAUUCUCCGCAAAAACCAUAGUUUUUCCUUAAAAGCUCUAGUGUGUCUCUAAACAAUCAC
rnacentral:lncRNA from 1 species